rnacentral:siRNA from 1 species
UGGGGAUGUAGCUCAGAUGGU